rnacentral:rRNA from 1 species
AUUGAACGCUGGCGGAAUGCUUUACACAUGCAAGUCGAACGGUAGAGGGGGCAACCCCUCGAGAGUGGCGAACGGGUGAGUAAUAUAUCGGAACGUGCCCAGUCGUGGGGGAUAACGUAGCGAAAGUUACGCUAAUACCGCAUACGAUCUAAGGAUGAAAGCGGGGGAUCGCAAGACCUCGCGCGAUUGGAGCGGCCGAUAUCAGAUUAGGUAGUUGGUGGGGUAAAGGCUCACCAAGCCAACGAUCUGUAGCUGGUCUGAGAGGACGACCAGGCACACUGGAACUGAGACACGGUCCAGACUCCUACGGGAGGCAGCAGUGGGGAAUUUUGGACUAUGGACGCAAGUCUGAUCCAGCCAUUCCGCGUGCAGGAUGAAGGCCCUCGGGUUGUAAACUGCUUUUGUACGGAACGAAAAGGUCUCUCUUAAUACGGGGGGCUCAUGACGGUACCGUAAGAAUAAGCACCGGCUAACUACGUGCCAGCCGCCGCGGUAA